UGACAGCGGAGGGAUCAUUACCGAGUUUACAACUCCCAAACCCCCGGUGAACUUAUACCAUUUACUGUUGCUUCGGCGGGUCAUGGCCCCGGGGAAAGAAAGCGGUCGCCGUCUGGCCUCAGCUGCCCGCCCCCGGAAACAGGCGACCGCCGGGGAACUCAAACUCUUCUGUAUUUCUUUAUCUAAUAUAUACUGUCUGAGUAAAAACUAAAAUGAAUCAGAACUUUCAACAACGGAUCUCUUGGUUCUGGCAUCGAUGAAGAACGCAGCGAAAUGCGAUAAGUAAUGUGAAUUGCAGAAUUCAGUGAAUCAUCGAAUCUUUGAACGCACAUUGCGCCCGCCAGUAUUCUGGCGGGCAUGCCUGUUCGAGCGUCAUUUCAACCCUCAAGUCCCCUGUGGACUCGGUGUUGGGGACCGGCGAGACAGCCGCGGAUCUUCUUCCGCAGCGAGUCGCCGCCCCCCAAAUGACUUGGCGGCCUCGUCGCGGCCCUCCUCUGCGUAGUAUAGCACACCUCGCAACAGGAGCCCGGCGAAUGGCCACUGCCGUAAAACCCCCCAACUUUUUCAGAGUUGACCUCGAAUCAGGUAGGAAUACCCGCUGAACUUAAGCAUAUCAAUAAGCGGAGGAAAAGAAACCAACAGGGAUUGCCCCAGUAACGGCGAGUGAAGCGGCAACAGCUCAAAUUUGAAAUCUGGCCCCCAGGGUCCGAGUUGUAAUUUGCAGAGGAUGCUUUUGGCAAGGUGCCUUCCGAGUUCUCCUGGAACGGGACGCCAUAGAGGGUGAGAGCCCCGUCUGGUUGGAUACCGAGCCUCUGUAAAGCUCCUUCGACGAGUCGAGUAGUUUGGGAAUGCUGCUCUAAAUGGGAGGUAUAUGUCUUUUAAAGCUAAAUAUUGGCUCAGAGACCGAUAGCGCACAAGUAGAGUGAUCGAAAGAUGAAAAGCACUUUGAAAAGAGGGUUAAAUAGUACGUGAAAUUGUUGAAAGGGAAAGCGCUCAUGACCAUGACUUGGGCCUCGGUGAAUCAUCCAGCGCUCGUCGCUGGUGCCACGUUGCCGGAGCUUCAGGUCCAGCAUCAGUUCAGCUCCGGGGGACAAAGGCUCUGGGAAAGUGGCUCCUCCGGGAGUGUUAUAGCCCCCUGCGCAAUACCCUGGGGCGGACUGAGGUUCUGCGCGCUCGGCAAGGACGCUGCUCGUUCGUUCG
rnacentral:rRNA from 1 species